GGCGCAGUGACAUGGCUAAUUAUUUAUAAUAAGUUUAUUUCUAGUUGAAUCUAGUGCUUGAGUCUAAUGGAUGGUGUUUUCUUAGCCUGCGGAUCUGCUCCGACAUAUUAAAUAAUUUAGUAAUUAGGGGGUUUCCAUGUUUGUUAACUCUUUUGAUAUAUCUAUUACUACAUUUGGUUAUUUCUUCUUUGACUGUGGAUACAUUGAGGUCGCGAUGGAUCGUUUCGUUGGUAACAUACCAGGGUGCGUUUAUUAGGGAUCUUAGCGUUUUCGAUUGGAAGCGUUGGAGUAUUUCAAUGUUGGAGUUACUUGCUGUUCCCCAUAGUUGGAUUCCGUAGGUCCAGACAGGUUUUAUUAUGGUCUUAUAGAGUGUAAUUUUGCUCUGCGUGAUUAGGUUGGAACGUCGGCCAAUGAGCCAGUAGAAUUUUUUAAGUUUAGCCUUGAGUUGCUUCGAUUUGUCUAUGAUGUUUUGUUUCCAUGUUAGUCUGCUGUCCAGAGUCAUGCCCAGGUAUCUGACUGAAUCCUUGUUAGGAAUUGUUAUACUGUUAAUGGUCACCUGAGGGCAGGUUUGUUUUCGCAGCGUGAAGGUUACAUGUGUGGAUUUGUUUUCGUUAAUUUUGAAGCCCCAUUUGUAAAACCACUUUUCCGUAGAGUCGGGACAUCGCUGGAGAGUGGAGGA
rnacentral:misc_RNA from 1 species